rnacentral:lncRNA from 1 species
AUCCCAUUUGUAUAAUAUAUAAAGUCCAACUAUUGUACACAUAUAUAUAAGCUAUUAAUAGGCACAAUAAUUUUACGAACAUAUAUUCUUCAUCUUACGAGGUUUUGGAAGGCGUUUCCAAGCAUCCUUAGCCACUAACCAUAUUUCAUGUAUAAUAUGAAUUUCUCAUGUUCAACAUAACACCGUAUCAAUAAAAUUCAAGCAAGUAUUGUUUACCAAAAAUCAUACAAUACUUGAAACGUUUUAGAAAAUCAUAGGUGUAAAGUACGUUGCAGAAAAAAUGUUUUUUUUUUCAUAAGAUAUUGUUUAGUGGACUCAUAAUUUAUUCUCAAUCU